rnacentral:rRNA from 1 species
CCCAGUCGUGGGGGAUAAGGCAGCGAAAGCUGCGCUAAUACCGCAUACGAUCUAUGGAUGAAAGCGGGGGACCGUAAGGCCUCGCGCGAUUGGAGCGGCCGAUGUCAGAUUAGGUAGUUGGUGGGGUAAAGGCUCACCAAGCCAACGAUCUGUAGCUGGUCUGAGAGGACGACCAGCCACACUGGGACUGAGACACGGCCCAGACUCCUACGGGAGGCAGCAGUGGGGAAUUUUGGACAAUGGGGGAAACCCUGAUCCAGCAAUGCCGCGUGCAGGAAGAAGGCCUUCGGGUUGUAAACUGCUUUUGUACGGAGCGAAAAGGCUCUGGUUAAUACCUGGGGCACAUGACGGUACCGUAAGAAUAAGCACCGGCUAACUACGUGCCAGCAGAACGCGGUAAUACC